rnacentral:rRNA from 1 species
AACGAACGCUGGCGGCAUGCCUAACACAUGCAAGUCGAACGAGACCUUCGGGUCUAGUGGCGCACGGGUGCGUAACGCGUGGGAACCUGCCCUUAGGUUCGGAAUAACUCCCCGAAAGGGGUGCUAAUACCGGAUAAUGUCUUCGGCCCAAAGAUUUAUCGCCUUUGGAUGGGCCCGCGUUGGAUUAGCUAGUUGGUAGGGUAAAAGCCUACCAAGGCGACGAUCCAUAGCUGGUCUGAGAGGAUGAUCAGCCACACUGGGACUGAGACACGGCCCAGACUCCUACGGGAGGCAGCAGUGGGGAAUAUUGGAAAAUGGGCGAAAGCCUGAUCCAGCAAUGCCGCGUGAGUGAUGAAGGCCUUAGGGUUGUAAAGCUCUUUUACCCGGGAUGAUAAUGACAGUACCGGGAGAAUAAGCUCCGGCUAACUCCGUG